rnacentral:rRNA from 1 species
CUCAACCUCGAAACUGCAUUGGAAACUGCGUUACUUGAGUGUCAGUGAGGAAAGCGGAAUUCCUGGUGUAGCGGUGGAAUGCGUAGAUAUCAUGAAGAACACCGACGGCGAAGUGCAGCUUUCUGGCUGACAACUGACCCUGAUGAACGAAAGCUAGGGUAGCGAACUAGGAUUAGAUACCCUGGUAGUUCUAGCUGUAAACGUUGUGCACUGGAUGUGGGCGGAUUUGGUCCCGUCUGUGUCUGAGCGAAGGCGUUAAGUGCACCGCCUGGGGACUACGGCCGCAAGGCUAAAACUCAAAGGAAUUGGCGGGGGCCCGCACAACCGGUGGAGCAUGUGGCUCAAUUCGAGGCAACGCGAAGAACCUUACCUGGGUUUGACAUAUACCUGACCGCCGGUGAGAGCCGGUUUCUCUUUGAGCAGGUAUACAGGUGCUGCAUGGCUGCCGACAGCUCGUGCUGUGAAGUGUUCGGUUAAGUCCGGCAACGAGCGCUAAUCACGCUGUUAGUUACCAUCAAGUGAAGCUGGGGACUCUAACAGGACUGCCCGUGCUAAGCGGGAGGUAGGCGUGGACGACGUCUAGUCCGCAUGGCCCUUACGCCCAGGACUGCACACGUGCUACAAUGGCCGGUACGGAGGGUCUCCACUCUGCGAAGAGGAGCUAAUCCCGCAUACCGGCCCCAGUUCGGAUUGGAGUUUGCAAUUCGACUCCAUGAAGUAGGUAUCGGUAGUAAAGGCCGUAUCAGCAACGG